GAUGAACGCUGGCGGCGUGCUUAACACAUGCAAGUCGAACGGAAAGGCCCAAGCUUGCUUGGGUACUCGAGUGGCGAACGGGUGAGUAACACGUGGGUGAACUGCCCUUCACUUCGGGAUAAGCCUUGGAAACUGGGUCUAAUACCGGAUAGGACGAUGGUUUGGAUGCCAUUGUGGAAAGUUUUUUCGGUGUGGGAUGAGCUCGCGGCCUAUCAGCUUGUUGGUGGGGGAAUGGCCUACCAAGGCGUCGACGGGUAGCCGGCCUGAGAGGGUGUACGGCCGCAUUGGGACUGAGAGACGGCACAGGCUCCUACGGGAGGCAGCAGUGGGGAAUAUUGCACAAUGGGCGCCAGCCUGAUGCAGCGAGGCCGCGUGGGGGAUGACGGCCUUCGGGUUGAAAACCCCUUUCGCUAGGGACGAAGCGUUUUUGUGACGGUACCUGGAGAAGAGGCACCGGCUACCUCCGU
rnacentral:rRNA from 1 species